CGGGGCUUCUUCUUGGCUCUUCAGUUGUCACACUUGCCUCAGCUGUGCCAUUUCUCCUGGCGACAUAGAAGAUAAUACCUGCUUUGUUGAUGAAGACUUUAAUAUCCUGUCUCCUCAAAAAUGACAAAACUUUGUCCAGAGAAAGACAAAGAACAACAUUUUAGGAAAUUUACACCAUUUGAUUUAUUUCCAGCCUUAAGACCCACAAAGGGCCAUAAAGAGCCAGGUGGCUUUACUCUGAGCAAUAAGUUUUACCUCAGAAUAUGUUUUUCCUGUCAUCUGGAGAACUUCUUUUCACUUUAUUCAUGUACGUUUCCCUAUUAUUUCAGGAAUUUCUUUAUCGAACCUUUACCUCAUAAAAGCCUUGUGAAAUAGAAAGAAGAAAAUGCCAAUUUUAUUUAUUAAGAGAUUGUCAUUUCAAACUUUACCUCAGAAAUGGCCAAGCCUUGUGAAACGGAAGGGAAAAACAAAGGCAAAACUUUUGAAAAUUAGCACAGCUUAUUCUGAAGGGACGAGAUAAAUAGUGUUGCGUUUGAUUUAUUAUAAUCUGGUUUAUUUCUUGCCAAAGACCCUCAUGGAGCCAGAAGAGCCACAUUUCUUUCAGCCACAACUUUUACCUCAAGCAAUCCAGAUCUUUUCACUUUAUUUGUGUCUGUUUCCUGAUUAUUUUAGUAAUUUCUUUCUUUACCUCAAACUUUUACCUCAGAAACGGCAAAGCCUCGUGAAAUAUAAAACAAUUUCUAUUUUAGAAUUUUCUUUAUCGAACCUUUACCUCAGAAAAGCCUUGUGAAAUAGAAAGAAGAAAAUGCCAAUUUUAUUUAUUAAGAGAUUGUCAUCUCAGACUUUACCUCAGAAAUGGCCAAGCCUUGUGAAACGGAAGGGAGAAACAAAGGCAAAACUUUUGAAAAUUAGCACAGCUUUUUCUGCAGGGACCAGCCUUAAGACCCAUAACAUGCUAUGCUGAAAAUUAUAUAUAUAUAUAUAUACACAAAAGGUCGAAGAGACAGAAGACAGAAGAUGCUUGAAGACACUCUCGCAAGGACACCGCCCGCCCCCCCAAAAAGGUCAUUGUCAGGGUAAUGGGUGUCAGGCUAGGCAUUUAAUGUCUAUCUUUGCAAUAAAAAACAGGCUACCUGUGUGCUAGGCUUUUGCAUGAAGAACACGGUUCCCCUCGUGUGUGGCAUCGAAGUUUCCCACUCGGGAACGGACGGGUCCUCCCUUUGUUCUAGGCAGAUGAUGGGGGUUUUCCUAUACAAGCCGUAGGGGCCACAGCUUGGGGGGCAGCGGGGGGCCCGGCCCUGGCACCGCGGGGAGCAGCACACCUUACGGGCAUUUUAAAAGCUCCCUUAAACUUAGACAGUGGCUAGAAAUAAAAAUAUUAAUACCUUAACUCACCUACUAACCCUACUAACACCAUUCUAACUAGGGCAGCCUGGCCUUUUAAAUAGGACUGUGUUUUGCCUGCUGGCAAGAACCAAGCUGGGAGGGAAGGGGGCCUCCUGGCCCCCCAUAGAAGGGCUCCCCUAGAAGGACAUUCAAAAUGCCCGCAAGGUGUCCUGAGAGCAGCCCCUGGGGCCCUCAGUGUGCCCCCCACGGUGCCAGGGCUGGGCCCCCCGCUCUCCCCCAACCCAUGACCCCUGCCGCCUGUAUAUCGUCCGCCCAGGGCCAACGGACGCCCCCUCCCUCCCCGGGCGGAGCUUCGGCGCCACACACAAGGGGAGGCCAGCCGUGGCCGCCAGAACAUGGAGAACCUGGUUUUUGACUGCAAACAUAGGCAUGUAGGGACCCCCUUUUAUUUAUGUAAGGCCACCCACCCAGGGGACCUCUGUUCCUAAUUAAAGCCUGGUUAAAGGGGAUCCUCUAUUCUUAAAGUAAGGCCUAUAGAGAUCUCCUAUCCAGAAACUAAGGCGGCUUGGCCUAUAGAGAUCCCCUUUUGUUAAACUAAGGUGGCCUGGCCUAUAGAGAUCUCCUAUCCAGAAACUAAGGCGGCCUGGCCUAUAGAGAUCCCCUUUUGUUAAACUAAGGUGGCCUGGCCUAUAGAGAUCUCCUAUCCAGAAACUAAGGCGGCCUGGCCUAUAGAGAUCCCCUUUUGUUAAACUAAGGUGGCCUGGCCUAUAGAGAUCUCCUUUUGUUAAACUAAGGUGGCCUGGCCUAUAGAGAUCUCUUGUUCUUAAACUAAGGUGGCCUGGCCUAUAGGGAUCUCCUUUUGUUAAACUAAGGUGGCCUGGCCUAUAGAGAUCUCUUGUUGUUAAACUAAGGUGGCCUGGCCUAUAGAGAUCUCCUUUUGUUAAACUAAGGUGGCCUGGCCUAUAGAGAUCCCCUUUUGUUAAACUAAGGUGGCCUGGCCUAUAGAGAUCUCCUUUUGUUAAACUAAGGUGGCCUGGCCUAUAGAGAUCUCUUGUUCUUAAACUAAGGUGGCCUGGCCUAUAGGGAUCUCCUUUUGUUAAACUAAGGUGGCCUGGCCUAUAGAGAUCUCUUGUUGUUAAACUAAGGUGGCCUGGCCUAUAGAGAUCUCCUUUUGUUAAACUAAGGUGGCCUGGCCUAUAGAGAUCUCUUGUUGUUAAACUAAGGUGGCCUGGCCUAUAGAGAUCUCCUUUUGUUAAACUAAGGUGGCCUGGCCUAUAGAGAUCCCCUUUUGUUAAACUAAGGUGGCCUGGCCUAUAGAGAUCUCCUAUUCUUUAAGGUAAUGCCAGGCGAUGUGGAGAUCCCUGGUUCUUUUAACCCUUAAGGCCAACCGUGGGGAGAUCCCUGGUUCUUUUAACCCUGAAGGCCAACCGUGGGGAGAUCCCUGGUUCUUUUAACCCUUAAGGCCAACCGUGGGGAGAUCCCUGGUUCUUUUAGCCCUUAAGGCCUGCCUGGGGAGAUACCCUAUUCUUUUUUCAUGAAAAGUCAGGUAUAGACCUUCUCUUUUCUCUCCCGUUUCAUGUGCCUGGACUCCCGGAGGGCUCCUGCCGGACACCGUCUCCCAUCGGCCGAGAGGGAUCCUUCCUGUUUGGAAAGCAUCUGCUACACAGGUAAGAAGAAGAUUCCGGGAAGGAGAUUCCUACAGCGGAGCCCUAAAGCCAGGUGAGACGUUCCUUCCAACCUCCACGGCUGCUUUGCACACACACACAUGACACACACACACACGCAUAUACAGCUGGGGGCCCUCAGGGACUCUCCCCCCAAUAGAUCGGGGACUCCCACUCCGGCAAUUGGCCAUUGUAAAUGCCUUGAAGCAGUUUGGGGCUUCCGGCCAAGCGCUCGCAAAGAGAACCCAUUCAAGGUAUACGUGGAGCCCCUUUUAUUUAUUAUUUAUUGACAGCAUUUCUAUUCCGCCCUUCUUUCUCACCCCAAAGGGGACUCAGGGCGGAUCACAUGACACAUAUAGGCAAACAUUCAGUGCCUUUUAACAUAGAACAAAGACAAACAAACAUAAGCUCCGAGCGGGUCUCGAACUCAUGACCUCCUGGUCAGAGUGAUUCAUUGCAGUUAUAAUUGCAGCUGGCUUGCUCUCCCGCCUGCGCCACAGCCCGGGCCAACCUUGAUAAAAAGGGCCUGGCACGUGGAAAACUCUAUUUGUAAGGCAAACCCUCGUUAAAGGAGGUUUGCAAUUAAUUUAAAACCAGGCUUCUGAGGGACCCGCUGCGUUUAAAGCCAAACCUAGCAGGUGGGAACCUCUCUUGUUGGAUAAAGGAGAUCCCCUCUGGUUAACGUAAGGGGAGGGACCCUCCAUUUUUAAUAGGAUGCCUGGCAGAAUCUUAACCUCAAUGCAGGCCUAUGGGGUCCAGCCUUAUUCUCAAUGACUGCAUAGCCAGGCAUGAAGGGACCCCAUAUUAUUAAUUUGAAGCCUGGUAAAAAGAGAUUUAUGUAUUUAUUUAUUUACUACAUUUAUACCCCGCCCUCUUUUCCCUUAAAGGGGACUCAGAGCGGCUUACAAGUUAUAUUUACAUACACUAUCUCAUUAGCAUAGCACAAUAUUAGCAUUAUAUAUUACUACAUUGCACUAUACCACUAUAUAGAAAUAUUGUUACCAAUAUUACAUUUAAAAUAUAAUAUGUAAUUAAUAUUAUUGUAUCAUUGUUAGUAUUAUAUUGCUUUAUUUCUUUAUUUCUUUAUUUAUUUAUUAGAUUUAUAUGCUGCCCUUCUCACCCCGAAGGGAACACAGAACGGCUUAAAAAUUAAAUUUACAUACAAUAUUAUAUUAUUAGCAUAGUACAAUACUGGCAAUAAAUUACUAUAUUGUACUAUAUCAAUAUAUGGUAGUAUUAUUAGUAAUAUUACAUGCAAAAUAUAAUAUAUAAUUAAUAUUAUUAUAUUGUAUUAUUAGUAUAUCGUAUUACAAUAUAAUAUUAUGAAUAUAUGUAUAUACAAUAUGUUGUAAUUAUUAUAUAUUAAAUUAUUUAUAUAUAUAUAUAUAUAUAUAUAUAUAUAUAUAUAUAUAUAUACACACACACACAGUAGAGUCUCAUUUAUCCAACAUAAACGGGCCAGCAGAAUGUUGGAUAAGCGAAUAUGUUGGAUAAUAAGGAGGGAUUAAGGAAAAGCCUAUUAAACAUCAAAUUAGUUUAUGAUUUUACAAAUUAAGCACCAAAUCAUCAUGUUAUACAACAAAUUUGACAGAAAAAGUAGUUCAAUAUGCAGUAAUGCUAUGUAGUAAUUACUGUAUUUAUGAAUUUAGUACCAAAAUAUCAUGAUGUCUUGAAAACAUUGUCUACAAAAAUGCGUUGGAUAAUCCAGAAUGUUGGAUAAGCGAGUGUUGGAUAAGUGAGACUCUACUGUAUAUAAAAAUUAGAAUAGCAUGUUAUUAGGGGAGGAGCAUCUUAAUUAUUAGAUGUCAGUAUUAGUCAUUAGAUGUUAAUAUUAGUUAUUCAUAUUAGUAUCAAUAUUACAUUAAUAUACAAUAGAGCAGGGGUCCCCAAACUAAGGCCCGUGUGCGGGAUGCGGCCCAUCGAAGCCAUUUAUCCGGCCCCCACAGCACAACCCUUAUUAUUAUUAUUAUUAUUAUUAUUAUUAUUAUUAUUAUUAUUAUUAUUAUUAUUAGCAUUGAGGCUGGGUGGCCAUCUGUCAGGGGUGCUUUGCUUGUGCUUUCGGUGCACAAAGGCAGAAAGGGAUUGGACUCAAUGGCCAACCCUUCCAACCCUCAUUAUUAUUAUUAUUAUUAUUAUUAUUAUUAUUAAUUAUUAUUAUUGCUUGGUGGCCAACUAUAGUCUGGCCCUGCAAUGGUCUGAAGGAUCGUGAACUGGCUCCCUGUUUAAAAGGUUUGGGGACCCCUGCAAUAGAGUAUAUUAUUAUCCUAGCACAAUGUUAUUAUGUUAUAUAGUAGUAUGUAUGUUCAUAUUAUUUAUUCAUAUUAGUAUCAAUAUGACAUUAAUAUACAAUAGAGUCUAUUAUUAUCCUAGCACAAUAUUAGUAUGUUAUAUAGUAGUAUGUUGUUGCUAGGGGGAGGGGCCCCCCACUGAUGGAGAGGGCCCCCCCACUGAGAUCCCCUGUCAUUAAUGUUAGACCAGGCAUUUAACGCCUACCUUUGCAUUCAAGAGCAGGCUCCUAGGCCUUUGCAUUCAAGAGCAGUGCGCUAGGCCUUUGCGCAAGGAACACCACCCACGGCUCCCCUUGUGCGUGGCGUUGAGGCCCCACUCGGUGACGGACGGGUCCUCCCUUUGCCCUGGGCAGGUCGUGGGGGGGGGUCUCCCUGCACAGGCAGGGGGUCACGGCUGGGGGGAGAGCGGGGGCCCGGCCUUGGCACCCCCCUGGGGACCCGAGGGGCCGCUCUCAGCCCACGUCACGGGCAUUUUAAAACGUCCCCGGGAUAUGUAGUAGCUCAGAUUAAUCCCUGCACUAACCGCUAACCCUACUAACCCAGUUCUAACCAGGGCAGGCUAGGCUUUUAAAUAGGACUGUUUUUGCCUGUUGGCAAGAACCAAGUGGGAGGGGGCCUCCGGGCCUCCCGUGGGAAGAAGGGCUCCGGCCCCCCCGGCCCCCCGGCCCCUGCCCUGUGCUGGGAGCCCCCCGCCCGGGCCCCCAGAGGCCUCCCUGUGGUACCGGGCUUGGCCCCCGCUCUGCCCCCAUCCGACGGCAUAGGAAAGCCCCCCACCAUCCGCCCAGGGCCAACGGACGGCCCUCCCUCCCAGGGGCAGCCGCGUUCCUCACGCAAAGGUCUGGCGCACGGGAGCCUGUUUCUGAAUGCAAACGUGGGGCCCAGGACCCCCCCCCCUUGUCUCCGUGCAGGGCCACCCCCCCAGGGACCCCCACAAAUGCCUGGUGACAGGGGAUCCUCUCCUCUUAGCAGGAGGAAAAGCCACGUGCGUAAAGCGGUGGCUUUGCUCCCGUCGUUCCCAAGAGCCCCCCAAAAGCGAGAUGCUCCCCUGGGUUCAGCCCUCCUGACCCCUCUUUUCUCCCUUGUUCCAUGUCUCCAAAAUCCCCGAGGGAGGGGCUCCUCCUGGACAAGAGCCAAGGACGGACGGACGGAGAUCCCAGAGAGAGAGCGGAGAGCAGGACGCCUUGCCUUUUCGGAGCUGCUGAGGUCGACCCCUUUCCAACGAUGUCAGCUUUCAAGAAUAAAACUCUUCCCAAAAAAGUGUGUUCUGGUUAUUAUUCAAAGGCACAACGUUCAAUAUUUGACAGCAUUAAACAUCUAGAUUACAGGACAGUUUAUGUUACUGCAUUUUAUACACCUGACCUUGUUUUUACAAAUAAAGUACCUGUAUAAUUUUUGCCUCUAUAUAUAUAUAUUGUACUAUGCUCAGACUCAUUGUUCUGAUAUGCUGUUAUAUGGUUUAAUUGUUUAUAUUGUUUAUAUUUUUAAUGUAUGAGUGUUUAUUACAUCUGUCAUUGGGCUUGUUUCCCAUGUGAGCCACCCCGAGUCCUCCUGGGGGAGAUGGGAGAGGGAAUAUAAAAAUAAAGUAUUAUUUUGUAUUAUUAUUAUUAUUUAUAAUAUUUAUUAUAUAUAAUUUUCUUGCACCCCAAGUACCUCUGGCAAGUGCCAAAGAGUAUUUAACUCUGCCUACAUGGCACUAAAGUGUAUUUAUAUGUUGAUUGUUCCUAUUGAUUUUAUGUUAUGUUUUUUUUGCUUUGUAUAAUAAGGCAUUGAAUUUUUGCCUUAAUAAUAAUAAUUUUAUGAAAGUUUUAAUGUCACUGAAUUUUAAAUUGGAUUGAAAUGUCAUUGUAAUUGUUUAUAUGUGUAUUUUCUAUUUGUAAGCCACCCUGAGUCUCCCCUUAUUGGGUGAGAAGGUUUGGGAAGAAAUACUGUCAUAAAUAAAUAAAUAUUCUGUGUCCA